AGGAAAGACAGAGCAUGGCUGCUGGGCAGCCAGGUCAACCGGACGGCAAGGCAGGGGUUGGCCGGGGAAGCACUGCGCCGCCCCUGCAUGCCCUGCAUCCUCGGGUCCUGGGAGGGCUGCUCAGUAACUGGAAGGAAAAUGAAACUGAAAAAGAGCAAGGGUCCCGUAGGAUUGAACACAGUUGGUGAAACUUGGGCCGUCUGCCUCAAGUCCCCGCUUGGCAAAACCACUCCCUCCUGGUGGACGCCCUCACCAUGAAGAGUUAUAGUAAGGUGUUGGUGAGGCUGGCUGCUCUGGUUGCUAAGAGAGACCCGGCCUGCCACACUCCUAAGAGACACAGAAGACCAGCCUACCCUUCCCUUGCCUCCCGUGACACUGCCCUGCAGGUGGCUGGCCAAGAGAAGCCUGCCCGGCGACGCUGAGGCACCGAACAUGAGCAGGGGAGGAAGGAAUGCCUGGGAGCAGCUGAGCCGAGCCCCUGCCACCAGCCUCCUCCGCACGCCCGUGGAAUCAGCACUUUCUGCUUCCCGCCCCUGAGAGCCUUGCUCUGGGGCCACUCACAGCCAAUUAAGUGGGGAUGUUGUAAGAGACUCUAAAAUACGUGGAGCUGGCUGAGGACGCGGGACCGACCCCAUUAUGUGUGUGUGAGGCUGAUUAAAGUGUUACCUGUCACCAGGUGUCGCCAA
rnacentral:lncRNA from 1 species